rnacentral:rRNA from 1 species
GUGCCAGCGCCGCGGUAAUACGUAGGGCGCAAGCGUUGUCCGGAAUUAUUGGGCGUAAAGAGCUCGUAGGCGGCUUGUCACGUCGGGUGUGAAAGCCCGGGGCUUAACCCCGGGUCUGCAUCCGAUACGGGCAGGCUAGAGUGUGGUAGGGGAGAUCGGAAUUCCUGGUGUAGCGGUGAAAUGCGCAGAUAUCAGGAGGAACACCGGUGGCGAAGGCGGAUCUCUGGGCCAUUACUGACGCUGAGGAGCGAAAGCGUGGGGAGCGAACAGGAUUAGAUACCCUGGUAGUCCACGCCGUAAACGUUGGGAACUAGGUGUUGGCGACAUUCCACGUCGUCGGUGCCGCAGCUAACGCAUUAAGUUCCCCGCCUGGGGAGUACGGCCGCAAGGCUAAAACUCAAAGGAAUUGACGGGGGCCCGCACAAGCAGCGGAGCAUGUGGCUUAAUUCGACGCAACGCGAAGAACCCUUACCAAGGCUUGACAUAUACCGGAAAGCGCCAGAGAUGGUGCCCCCCUUGUGGUCGGUAUACAGGUGGUGCAUGGCCUGUCGUCAGCUCGUGUCGUGAGAUGUUGGGUUAAGUCCCGCAACGAGCGCAACCCUUGUCCUGUGUUGCCAGCAUGCCCUUCGGGGUGAUGGGGACUCACAGGAGACCGCCGGGGUCAACUCGGAGGAAGGUGGGGACGACGUCAAGUCAUCAUGCCCCUUAUGUCUUGGGCUGCACACGUGCUACAAUGGCCGGUACAAAGAGCUGCGAUGCCGCGAGGCGGAGCGAAUCUCAAAAAGCCGGUCUCAGUUCGGAUUGGGGUCUGCAACUCGACCCCAUGAAGUCGGAGUUGCUAGUAAUCGCAGAUCAGCAUUGCUGCGGUGAAUACGUUCCCGGGCCUUGUACACACCGCCCGUCACGUCACGAAAGUCGGUAACACCCGAAGCCGGUGGCCCAACCCCUCGGGGAGGGAGCUGUCGAAGGUGGGACCAGCGAUUGGGACGAAGUCGUAACAAGGUAACC